rnacentral:tRNA from 1 species
UGGGGAAUAGUCUAAUGGUAGGACAGCAGACUCUGGAUCUGUCAGUGAAGGUUCGAAUCCUUCUUCCCCAGCCA